rnacentral:lncRNA from 1 species
CUGCCUGUCUGAGUUCUCAGGACAGUGGCCCGGGAGCCCAGGGAGAAAAUGAUGCAGCAGAAAUUAGAACUGUGGAAUGGCCCCCUAACCAAGGAAGAAGGAAGCUGGGCUGGAGCCAUUGGAUGGGGAGACUGAGGCAGAAAAGGAAAGUUGCUACAUGCUCAAGACCCCACAGCAAAGCACUGUUAGAACCAGGCCUGGAACCACAUCUCCCAUGGUGAAGUCGAAGCGCUGGGGCCCUCCCCGGUCCCCCUGCCUACCGUGGAGCAAGAUUCCAUGUCCAGCUGUCCUCCAGGACUGUCAAUAACUGGCACAUGGAGAAACUAAAGCAUCGAGAAGUUAAGAAACGUGCCCAAGGUUAUACAUCUAAUAAGUCUUGGCUGUGGAAUUUGAACCCAGAUCUGGCUCUAGCAUCUAAGUUCCAGACCCUCGCUGUCCUCUCAGGAAGACCAAUCCAGAGUAGAACUUUCUAAGACAUUCCGUGGUCUGGAGGAAAAUAUGCCCUGGCUGCUGCUAAGCCGUAUCCCACACCCCCAGAAGCAUUUCUAACCAGGGGAAAUUGGUUAUUGAGCAUACAGAGGGCAGUUGUGAAGGAAAAAAUGAGAAGGUAGGAGCUGACAAGAGACCCCAGGUGCCUGAGAGGCGGUGAAGAGAGGGGAGGCACUGUUGCUAAGCAACCGACCUGAGAGGGGUCCUCCCAUCCUCU